GACGAACGCUGGCGGUAUGCCUAAUACAUGCAAGKCGAACGCUGAAGCACUCUGCUUGCAGAGUGUAGAUGAGUGGCGAACGGGUGAGUAACACGUGGGGAACCUGCCCAUAAGAGGGGGAUAACAUCCGGAAACGGGUGCUAAUACCGCAUAGGUGAUCAUAGCGCAUGCUUAGAUCAUUAAAGAUGGCUUCGGCUAUCGCUUAUGGAUGGCCCCGCGGCGUAUUAGCUAGUUGGUGAGGUAAUGGCUCACCAAGGCUGUGAUACGUAGCCGACCUGAGAGGGUGAUCGGCCACACUGGAACUGAGACACGGUCCAGACUCCUACGGGAGGCAGCAGUAGGGAAUCUUCCACAAUGGGCGAAAGCCUGAUGGAGCAAUACCGCGUGAGUGAAGAAGGUCUUCGGAUCGUAAAGCUCUGUUGUUAGAGAAGAACAAGAGGUGUAGUAACUGGCACCUCCUUGACGGUAUCUAACCAGAAAGUCACGGCUAACUACGUGCCAGCAGCCGCGGUAAUACGUACGUGACAAGCGUUGUCCGGAUUUAUUGGGCGUAAAGCGAGCGC
rnacentral:rRNA from 1 species